CCUACGGGUGGCAGCAGUGGGGAAUUUUACACAAUGGGCGAAAGCCUGAUGUAGCGACACCGCGUGAGCGAAGAAGCCUUUUGGGGUGUAAAGCUCUGUCAGCAGGGAGACGGUACCUGCAGAGGAAGCAUCGGCUAACUACGUGCCAGCAGCCGCGGUAAGACGUAGGAUGCAAGCGUUGUCCGGAUUUAUUGGGCGUAAAGAGUUCGUAGGCGGUUUGUUAAGUCUGAUGUUAAAGACUGGGGCUCAACCCUGGGACCGCAUUGGAUACUGGCAGACUCGAGUGCAGUAGAGGCAAGUGGAAUUCCCAGUGUAGCGGUGAAAUGCGUAGAUAUUGGGAAGAACACCGGUGGCGCAAGCGACUUGCUGGGCUGUACUGACGCUGAGGAACGAAAGCUAGGGUAGCGAAUGGGAUUAGAUACCCUUGUAGUC
rnacentral:rRNA from 1 species